GUCGCUGUGGUGCAAUGGGUCAGCACGUUUGGCUCUUCACCGAAAGGUUGGUGGUUCGAGCCCACCCAGGGGCG